UACGAACUGUGCGAACGUUAUUCGGAAUCACUGGGCUUACAGGGUGCGUAGGCGGCUUGUCAAGUAGGGUGUGAAAGCCCCCGGCUCAACCGGGGAAUGGCGCCCUAAACUGGCGAGCUGGAGUGAGAUAGGGGUGUGCGGAACUUCCGGUGGAGCGGUGAAAUGUGUUGAUAUCGGAAGGAACGCCGGUGGCGAAAGCGGCACACUGGAUCUCAACUGACGCUGAGGCACGAAAGCCAGGGGAGCGAACGGG
rnacentral:rRNA from 1 species